UACAGAGGGUGCAAGCGUUACUCGGAAUUACUGGGCGUAAAGCGUGCGCAGACGGUUGCGUAAGUCAGAUGUGAAAGCCCCGGGCUCAACCUGGGAAUUGCAUUUGAGACUGCGUAGCUAGGGUGCGGAAGAGGGAAGCGGAAUUUCCGGUGUAGCGGUGAAAUGCGUAGAUAUCGGAAGGAACACCAGUGGCGAAAGCGGCUUCCUGGUCCAGCACCGACGUUCAGGCACGAAAGCGUGGGUAGCAAACAGG
rnacentral:rRNA from 1 species